CAUAAAAUCAGUUGACAAAUCAUUUAUAGAGAAUAUACCCAUGAUGAAACAUGUAAACUUUAAACAGAAUCAAAUAACGACUUUGGCGAAAGAAAUUCAAAAUCUACAUCCGGAUAUGUUUUUAUUUAAUCAGACAGAAAUAAUAUGUGGAUGUUCUUCCGAAUGGAUCAAAAUCUGGCGGGAAAUUAACCACGCAAAUAGUUUUUUGAAUUUCUAUGCCGGGCGGCGAACGGACAUAUCAUUGUGAUCGAAAUGUUUUCAUUUAUUGACCUUUUUUGUGAAACUGAAAAAAAAAGACAAUAGUGCCAUUAUAGUAGGGUUUCUCGUUCUUGUAUCUAUUUUAACUUUUUUGUUGACUGCCAUAAUUUUUUUUCACUUCGAACUUUCAACUUUAGGCGCUUAACUUAAACGGAAAACAAAAAAAGAUUGGAAUCGUGACGUGUUCAUAUCUUUUGACGAGGAAAACAUUGAGGUCUUCAUAUUCAUACAAACAAUUCUGAAGCCAAAUCUCAAACGAAAAGGCUACAAAGUAUUUCAUCCGACGAUAUGUUAUUCGGUCAAUCGAGGGAACUAAAAGAUGAGCAUAGUGUCCAAGUCGAACCACGUGAUGUAAUCAUCGUACUUUCAGAUAAUUUUGAUAAACCUAAGAACACUAAUGAUAACUGCUGGUUAUUGACAGAGUUUGAUUAUUGCUGGAAGAAGUUUAUUGGACUGCAUAUCCGCACUUUCAUCACGUUGAACUUUGAUAGUCUUUGUUCAUCCGAUAUAUCAAACAGAAAGUUGAAGGCUAUUAAUAGGAUAUGUCCGUGCGUUUGGUCCUAGAUCGACAUCAUGAAGUCCUUACUCGUUUGGAAACUAUUUUAGGGGCACCCAUUAGAAAUAAUGCUUUCAUUUAGAUACAGAAAAAUGAAAAUAAUGGAGGGCUACAAACGAGAAAUUUCAAUGGAAGUUCAAUCACGCAUACAUGAUGUGUUAAACUUAUAGGCCUUACAUAUAUAUUAAAAUAAUCCAAAGGAAACACAAUAGACGAACUUUGUAGGAUACAAAAUUAAUUGAGACUUAAAUAAAGCACGAAACAACAUUGCUAAUGAGACCCGACAGUAAACAAAUAGAACAUAUGAGAACCCACAGACGAACGUGCUCAAGUACAAACAUGUUUACCGAUAUUGUAUAAAAUGUAGUACUCUUUAACUUUAAGAGUUGUAUAGAUUUUUACACAUAACUAUGUGAUAUUUUUCUCUACUUAGACUUGAUCUGAAUUUAAGCAUAAAAUAUAGAAUCGAAAAUUGAAAUGGGAAUGUGUCAAAGAAACAACAAUCCGACAAAAGAGCAUACAACAGAAGUUAUUGUACAUAUUGUAAUAGAAAUGUGAGGGCACACACCCUUAUUUAUUAAGCUGUUGAUUUCUUAUAUCGUAAAUGUCGACGCGAAUGUAUUAGAGAGGCCCCUCAUGACGGUGUCCAAGUUAUCACGUAAUCACAAAUGAUUUGUAAAGAUAAUCACACAAUCAAUAUGUCUUUUAUAAACAAAUUAAAGGCAACAUAAUAACAUAAUCAUUAAUUAUUUUUUAAACAAUAUUAUCACAUAAUAAUUUAUUCUUUCUUAAGCAAUAUAAUCACAUAUUAAUCAUUAAUUCUUCUUUUAAUAAUAUAAUCAAAUAAUAUAAUUUACAGUUCUAGAUUAUCAAGGAAUCAAAUUAUCAUAGAAUAUUUGUUUUGGUAAUAAAUUAUUCACGGUUUAAAAGGCCAAAUAAUCACGGAAUCACCCCCAUAAAGAGGUUUAUUAGAUUGAUAAGAUGGGUGGAUUUUCUCCGUAAAUAAUUUGUGUUGUAAAGUCGCAAGUCUGAUGGCAUGCGUCAACGCAACGUCUAUAUUAUUACCUGUGAAAUGAAACAAAGGGGGGAGAGGGGGGGGGGGCUUAUUAAAGUACGGAUGAACAAGUUUAGUAAAACAUGGCUUGAUCACGGACAUUGUCGUCUCAUAUAUCCUAUGUUUUAAAUGGUUUACAGGGAUUCGUUGAUUUUGAUUAGUUAAACAGGUUAAACAUAAAUUGGGCGUUUUAAAUCUUUAAAUAAUGUUAAUAACCUUAUUAUAAACUAACAGUUGAUAUCGUGAAAAUGUGUACUCAAAGAUGAUGUGGGAACAUAAAAAAUCAACGAAUAAGGCAAAAUAGGGUGUUUAUUAAUAUUAAAUCUUUGCUUAUCUAAGCCA
rnacentral:lncRNA from 1 species